AAUAGUUUUAUGUCACAUCAGUACUCUUAUCCUGAAUUUCAGGAUUUCACCCUAAAAAAAUCAAAUCCGAAUUAAAAUACUAAAAUUCAGGAUAAAAUCUUGAAAUUCAGGAUAAGAAUACUGAUGUGACAUAAAACUAUU
rnacentral:pre_miRNA from 1 species